rnacentral:lncRNA from 13 species
UUGAGAGUAAGGCCUUCAGCUGAGAGACAUGUUAGAAAAAGAGCUCUUUGAAGUUUAAGGUGAAAAUGAUGUGAAAUAGUCAUUUAAAGACUAGGGAAUUGUUCUAAAAAUAGACCAGAGGCUUCUUAGGACCAAUCAGGGCUAAGUUAGUGGGUGGAUACGACUAUAUGAAUGUGUGUAAAUAUAUUCUUUAAUAUAAAAUGUUUAGCAAGUAUUUUCACAUUUAAUCUAUAUUUUACUUGGAUUUUUAACUAAUCUCCCUGCACAUUCACCUAUACCUUUUUAUAAAUAUUUAGAUAGUUCUCAAAUAUAGCUCAGUUAGAACAUUUAUUGUAUUAACCCUAAGCCUAAAUGUACUUUAACUUGAAAGGAUAUGAAUAUCCUGUGACAUAAUUAAUGAGAUCACAAAAUCUAGAUGCAAAAUACUACUUUGAAAGUAAGACGGCUUAUAAAAGAAAGGAUUAUAAAAUAUGGUGAAAUGUAGUCCUAAAUUCGACAAGCCUCUAUUAGUCUCCUAUGACUCUGUGUCCUAAAAGCAUAAGCAAGUCAUUCAAGAACAUAAAAUAGGUUAUUUAUCUCAUUAUAAGAGCUCUAACUGGAUUUUUUUAAAGGCAUGAGUAACAUACUUGGGAUUAAAUUAAUUAAAGGAGGAGAAAAGUUGCCUUCCGCUGAAGAGUUCUUCUGUUGAUAAGGAGGAAAGAGGACUCAGCAUGUGGGUUUUGAUAAGAAGAGCUUCAUCGGGCAGGGCAAGCAAUGAUCGUUUCUGUCUGGAAGGCGUAACUGCUCCAUGUAUAAUGGAGAAGACUGAGGGAGCUCUGUGAAGCAUGUGCCUAUAAGAGGUACUCAUUUUGGUUUUAUGAGUUAGGAGUCAGAACUAUUUUUUCUUUGCCUUUUAAAACCAAGCAUUUUAUAAAUACUAAAUAAGGUCGUCACAAUUAAACUUUGUCAAUGUUGCAGCAAACGUGGGCUUUUAAAUCGUAUGUCUUCUCAAUUAGGAUAAAUUCUAAAAUCCAGGUAGUCUACGUUUUUUAGUUGGUAAUAUUGUGAAGAAA